rnacentral:tRNA from 1 species
UUUCUAUUACUUUAAAAAAAAGAGUGAAUUGCAAAUUCAACAUUAGUUUUCUAUAGAAUU